GAUGAAGAACGCAGCGAAAUGCGAUAAGUAAUGUGAAUUGCAGAAUUCAGUGAAUCAUCGAAUCUUUGAACGCACCUUGCGCUCCUUGGUAUUCCGAGGAGCAUGCCUGUUUGAGUGUCAUGAAAUUCUCAACCUUUUCAGCUUUCUUUGUUGAUCAGGCUUGGAUGUGGGAGUAUGCGGGCUUCUCAGAAGUCGGCUCUCCUGAAAUGCAUUAGCGGGACCUUUGUUGCCUGGCUUUGGUGUGAUAAUUAUCUACGCCAUUGUAGUCAAGCAGCUUAAAAUGAGGUUUCAGCGUCUAACCGUCUCCCCUGAGACAACUUUUUGACAAUUUGACCUCAAAUCAGGUAGGACUACCCGCUGAACUUAAGCAUAUCAAUAAGCGGAGGA
rnacentral:misc_RNA from 1 species